CCUACGGGGGGCAGCAGUGAGGAAUAUUGGUCAAUGGACGAGAGUCUGAACCAGCCAAGUCGCGUGAAGGAUGACUGCCCUCUGGGUUGUAAACUUCUUUUAUAUGGGAAUAAAACGUUCCACGUGUGGGAUUUUGUAUGUACCAUAUGAAUAAGGAUCGGCUAACUCCGUGCCAGCCGCCGCGGUAAUACGGAGGAUCCGAGCGUUAUCCGGAUUUAUUGGGUUUAAAGGGAGCGUAGGUGGAUUGGUAAGUCAGUUGUGAAAGUUUGCGGCUCAACCGUAGAAUUGCAGUUGAAACUGGCAGUCUUGAGUACAGUAGAGGUGAGCGGAAUUCGUGGUGUAGCGGUGAAAUGCUUAGAUAUCACGAAGAACUCCGAUUGCGAAGGCAGUUCACUGGACUGCAACUGACGCUGAGGCUCGAAAGUGUGGGUAGCAAACAGGAUUAGAUACCCGGGUAGUC
rnacentral:rRNA from 1 species